rnacentral:lncRNA from 1 species
GUUCUUCGCGAAGGUUGCUGGGGUUUGGUCGCGAAGGUGAUGAGAGGGUUUUUUCUUUAAGUCUUAAUAAUUGGGAGAGAGAUAUCAGAUACACAUGACUAUUACCUUGUUCCAAAAAUAUUAUUUUAUUUUUUUUAUUUAACCUGACGUUUUACAUCUGUGGCUAAAUAUGGCCAGAUAUAUACAUAUUUUAGAUAAUUUUCACCAUAAUUAUAAGAUUGCCACCGCGUUUAGUUAUGCUUCUGGUACGUUUAAGCCAGAUGUAAAAAGUCUUGUCUAUUUAUUUUUCAUAUCUGUGGACAUUGAAGCCAGAUGAAAAGACUACUCCAUAUAGCGUUUUACAUCUGACAUAUGCUCGUCAGAUGUAAACAUGAUGUGUAAUAUGUCAUAUUUGUAGUAGUGAAUUAAGCAAUAAGCAGGUGAAGUGAAGGUUUCCAUUCCAAUGGCUCAACGUUGUUGCAACUUUUACAUUUCAAUUCCAAGGCGGCUGAAUGCCCUUCCAAUUCUAAAACCUCCUCCUCCUCCCUCUCAGACAUUCUAUCAAACACUUUCAAUACACUCUCAUUCAAACAAUCACUAUCCUCCUCCUCCUUAUCCUUUCCACUUCAACUUUGAUUUCAAUCACCCAACUCUAUUGAAAUUCAUCCAAUUCCUCAAAAACAACAACGACAAAAACGAUGAUGAUGAUGUUCAUUUCCUUUCAUCACUGGAAGAACCAAAUGCAGAUUUAAUAUGUUCCGCA